rnacentral:rRNA from 1 species
AUGGGAACGCGAAGAACCUUACCUAGACUUGACAUCUCCUGAAUAGUGUAGAGAUACAUGAAGCCCUUCGGGGUCAGGAAGACAGGUGGUGCAUGGUUGUCGUCAGCUCGUGUCGUGAGAUGUUGGGUUAAGUCCCGCAACGAGCGCAACCCUUAUUACUAGUUGCUACCAUUAAGUUGAGCACUCUAGUGAGACUGCCCGGGGUUUAAACCGGGGUAGGAAGGCGGGGUAUGACGUCAAAUCAUCAUGCCCCGUUAUGUCUAGGGCAACACACGUGCUACAAUGGUGAGUACAGAUAGAUGCGAUACCGCAAGGUGGAGCCAAACUCUAAAACCUCAUCCCGAGUUCGGAUUGUAGGCUGCAACUCGCCUACAUGAAGUUGGAGUUGCUAGUAAUCGCGAAUCAGAAUGUCGCGG